rnacentral:rRNA from 1 species
GACGAACGCUGGCGGCGUGCUUAACACAUGCAAGUCGAACGGAAAGGCCCUGCUUUUGUGGGGUGCUCGAGUGGCGAACGGGUGAGUAACACGUGAGUAACCUGCCCUUGACUUUGGGAUAACUUCAGGAAACUGGGGCUAAUACCGGAUAGGAGCUCCUGCUGCAUGGUGGGGGUUGGAAAGUUUCGGCGGUUGGGGAUGGACUCGCGGCUUAUCAGCUUGUUGGUGGGGUAGUGGCUUACCAAGGCUUUGAUGGGUAGCCGGCCUGAGAGGGUGACCGGCCACAUUGGGACUGAGAUACGGCCCAGCCUCCUACGGGAGGCAGCAGUGGGGAAUAUUGCACAAUGGGCGGAAGCCUGAUGCAGCAACGCCGCGUGCGGGAUGACGGCCUUCGGGUUGUAAACCGCUUUCGCCUGUGACGAAGCGUGAGUGACGGUAAUGGGUAAAGAAGCACCGGCUAACUACGUG